rnacentral:rRNA from 1 species
AUGCACGCUGGCGGCGUGCUUAACCCCUGCAAGUCGCACGGAAAGGCUCCUGCUUGCAGGGGUACUCGAGUGGCGAACGGGUGAGUAACACGUGGGUGAUCUGCCCUGCACUUCGGGAUAAGCCUGGGAAACUGGGUCUAAUACCGGAUAGGACGAUGGUUUGGAUGCCAUUGUGGAAAGUUUUUCGGUGUGGGAUGAGCUCGCGGCCUAUCAGCUUGUUGGUGGGGUAAUGGCCUACCAAGGCGUCGACGGGUAGCCGGCCUGAGAGGGUGUACGGCCACAUUGGGACUGAGAUACGGCCCAGACUCCUACGGGAGGCAGCAGUGGGGAAUAUUGCACAAUGGGCGCAAGCCUGAUGCAGCGACGCCGCGUGGGGGAUGACGGCCCUCGGGUUGUAAACUCCUUUCGCUAGGGACGAAGCGCAAGUGACGGUACCUGGAGAAGAAGCACCGGCUAACUACGUG